rnacentral:rRNA from 1 species
CAAUAGCGUAUAUUAAAGUUGUUGCAGUUAAAAAGCUCGUAGUUGGAUUUGUGGCGUACGGUGUGUUCCGGGCACUUGUUGUCUGAGUAACCUGCUGUUGCCAUCCUUGGGUGGAACCUGUGUGGCAUUAGGUUGUCGUGCAGGGGAUGCCCAUCAUUUACUGUGAAAAAAUUAGAGUGUUCAAAGCAGGCUUAUGCCGUUGAAUACAUUAGCAUGGAAUAAUGAGAUAGGACUUUUUUGCUAUUUUGUUGGUUUGCGCAAAGAGGUAAUGAUUAAUAGGGACAGUUGGGGAUAUUCGUAUUCCAUUGUCAGAGGUGAAAUUCUUGGAUUUUUGGAAGACGAACUACUGCGAAAGCAUUUACCAAGGAUGUUUUCAUUAA